CUCCCCUCAGGGUCGCACCUGGAGAGUUUCCAGUACUCUUCCAGUCUCAGCAUCAGGAGGGAGGUAGUCAAGCAGAGGCCUGUCCAUCCCAUUCCUAGCUUGGCAAGUGGCUGGCGAGUGGAAGGCAAUCUGCUACAAGU